rnacentral:rRNA from 1 species
UGGGGAAUAUUGGGCAAUGGGCGAAAGCCUGACCCAGCGACGCCGCGUGGGUGAUGAAGGCCUUCGGGUUGUAAAACCCUUUCGUGCGGAAAGAAUAGUCUCGUAGCGAAUAACUACGGGAUUUGACGGUACCGCAGGAAGAAGCACCGGCUAACUCCGUGCGAGCAGCUGCGGUAAUACGGAGGGUGCAAGCGUUGUUCGGAAUUAUUGGGCGUAAAGGGCGCGUAGGUGGUUGUGAUAGUCAGAUGUGAAAUCCUUCGGCUCAACCGAAGAACUGCAUCUGAAACUUCAUAGCUCGAGUACAGGAGAGGGAAACGGAAUUCCCGGUGUAGAGGUGAAAUUCGUAGAUAUCGGGAGGAACACCAGUGGCGAAGGCGGUUUCCUGGCCUGAUACUGACGCUGAGGCGCGAAAGCGUGGGGAGCAAACAG